AGAAUCAACGCUGGCGGCGUGCCUAACACAUGCAAGUCGAACGAGAAAGUGGAGCAAUCCAUGAGUAAAGUGGCGCACGGGUGAGUAACACGUGACUAACCUACCCUUGAGUGGGGGAUAACCUAGAGAAAUCUGGGCUAAUACCGCAUAAUACCUUCGGGUCAAAGGAGCAAUUCGCUUAAGGAGGGGGUCGCGGCCGAUUAGUUAGUUGGCGGGGUAAUGGCCCACCAAGACUGUGAUCGGUAUCCGGCCUGAGAGGGCGCACGGACACACUGGAACUGAAACACGGUCCAGACUCCUACGGGAGGCAGCAGUGGGGAAUUUUGCGCAAUGGGGGGAAACCCUGACGCAGCAACGCCGCGUGGAGGAUGAAGCCCCUUGGGGCGUAAACUCCUUUCGAUCGGGAAGAUAAUGACGGUACCGAGAGAAGAGCCCCGGCUAACUUCGCGCCAGCAGCCGC
rnacentral:rRNA from 1 species